UACGGGGGGAGCAAGCGUUGUCCGGAAUCAUUGGGCGUAAAGCGCGUGUAGGCGGCUCGGUAAGUCUGCUGUGAAAGUCCAGGGCUCAACCCUGGAAUGCCGGUGGAUACUGUCGAGCUUGAGUCCGGAAGAGGCGAGUGGAAUUCCUGGUGUAGCGGUGGAAUGCGCAGAUAUCAGGAGGAACACCAAUAGCGAAGGCAGCUCGCUGGGACGUUACUGACACUGAGGCGCGAAAGCGUGGGGAGCGAACAGG
rnacentral:rRNA from 1 species